AAGCAUGACAGUGUUUAUAUGAUGUUUUUAUGUGCUUCUGCUAACAAAGUAACAAGAAUGGUAACAUUGAUUAACUAAGUCUACUCUCAGAUGCACCCAGCCCAGUUUCCUCUGAAGAAAGCUAAUCUCUAGCCUUCGCUGAGACAGGUGCUUUGUCUCAGAAGGGCAGGUGCGUGCACCUCUGGCAUAUCAGGUAGGUCACAUGAUCUGGAAACUAGGAAAACCAAUAUUCCCAUGGAAGAAAACCCAGCUUAAGCACCACAGUUAAGUUCUAGAGGUCUUGUAAGGGCUUGUCAGGAUGCUGGCUGACGGUCUGCAGUGUCUCCGUAUUCAGUGUCACAUGUGGUAUCACAUGUGGUGAUGGUCUCGCUCUGUGCAUCUGAUUGUUACAAACUUGCUCACAUCCACAUGGGUGUGGUUUGCUACUGCAUGGACAGUGUACACUAGGAAGUGAGCGUGUCCGCACCUCUCACCUGUGCAGCCUCUGCACUAACUGGAACCACCCCCCUACGCCCCCACCCCAACCCCGUGCCAGCGAAACGAAAAGUUGGGCAAGUUCAUACAAGUUCUGGUGGCUCACUUUGAGCGUCCCUGGAGAUGCACCCCUUGUGGGCAGGUGGCCUGUGUGACUAAAGCGGCUUCAUGUUGGUCUUGGCACAGUUCUGUCCUGUGUCCUGGUGUUGUGGUUUGAGCAUGUUUCCCUAAGUAAUCCUGUAGCAUUUCCUCCCUGCCAGCAGAGAAAGCUCACAUUCCCCAGCAGGGUUAUUGUACCAGCCUCCCAGGCUCAGGCUAGUCCAGACAUCACCUCUUGGAAGCGACAGCCAUUAAUUACCGCCAUCCCAUAAUGUCUGAGCCUUGUUUGUUCAGCAGUUUCACAGCCGUUGGCAGCAGUUAUCCCUGGGCAGGUAAAUAGUGGCUUUGUUUGCUCUGAUAAGAUAGCAGGGUUCCAGCGUGGCUGUCCUCCAUCCCGAGGCUCAGUGGUUUGUCCUCAUUCACUCUGUGCUUCUUUUAAGGCAGGGUCUCUCUGUGUAGCCCUGGCUGGCCCAGAAGUCACUGUAGCCCUGGCUGGCCCAGAAGUCACUGUACAGAUGAGGCUCGCUUGGAUUCAGAGAUCUGCCUGCCUCUGGCUCCCGAGGACUGGCCACUGUUGCUUCUUUGUUUGCUUUUUGUUUGUUUGUUUGUUUUACAAGACUGUGGGGCCACUGCAUAGGCUGAAAGGUGCAGGGUUUUAGAGAAGAAUCCGGAAGGAGCAUCUCGCGCACAUCCAUAGCCAUAUACUCUUCAGUACAUUAAGAGCAGAAUGGUCAGGGCUGUUCUUACAGAGGACCCAGGUUCAGACCCCAGCACUCACAUCAAGUGUACCUCCAAUUCCAGCGGAUCUUCUGAUGCUUCUGACCUCUGCCAGCACCUGCACCCACACCCAUGUGCACAUGCCCACACACAGAUACACAACUAAAAAUAAAAUACAUCUAUACACAGAGAGGAAAGACAGCAAAGGCUAGAGGAACUCAUUAAAUCUGAGGCUGUUGCAUGGCUGUAGUUUGGGGUUUGUGGCGGAGAGCAUUGCAUUCUCUCUCUGUAAAGGCUCUCCGUGUGCUUUCUCUAGCGUUUUCUCUGUCACUUGACAAGCUAGCUUUGGCUCUGACUGCUUCUCCCCCGUGUUUCCAGUCUGGGUUACACAUUCUGCAUCUACAUGCAGCACAGAGCAGAGUCCAGCGAGCUGGCCUGCAUGGGGCACGGCCAUGUGCCUUCAGGUACAUAUCAUUAGCUGCUGCUUUUGAGCUACACUGUGAUUUCUCGUUUUCUGGGCAUACUGCCAUUUCCCGGCCUUGCUUUCCACAUAAGCCCCUACCCCUCUGUUUCAGGCAGGCCGGGCAGGGUCAAUCUCUCAAAUAUGGACGAAAUACAGUACGAUUUUCCCAAGUCUGCACUCAGCUUUCUGAUUGUUUGUUUUCAUAGAAGUCACCUUUUCUGAAUAAAAAGUAUGUAUACAACUUUUUCCUCUGAACACCAUUAAGACAAACAAGAUUAAUAUAUAUAUAUAUUAUAUAUAUAUAUAUGUGUGUGUGUGUGUGUGUAUUAUAUACGCACUAUAUAUACAUAAUAUUAUAUGCACAUAUAUGUUUGUGUGUGUAUAUGUGUGUGUGUGUGUGUGUGUGUGUAUACACAUAAUAUUAAGACCACACCUUAACAGCUCCUUUCUGAAGACUCCCAGCUCCCUCCAGUAAAAGUGAUAAUGAAUUCACCUGUGCAAAACCAUACGGUUUCUUCCUGUGAAUUUUCACUCCCUAUAUCUUUCCCUGGUUCCAGUUACAGGCAUGAGCCCCUGCUCUCAGCCUUUCCUAACUCCUAGCAAGCAUGAGCAACGUAGAGUGCAUGUUACUACUGUAUGUGUGGUGUGUGUGUUAAUGCUGGUGGGCCGGUGGGCAUAACCGUGGUGCCUUGCCUGUCUGCAUGUCAGAGGACAACCCUUGAGAGCUGUUUCUCCCCUUCCACUGCAGGAUCUGGGCAUUUAACUCAGGCUGUCAGGUUGUAAGCCUUAAUCAUAAGUUCUACCCACUGAGCCAUCUCACUGGCCUGUCCCCCUAACCUCUGCUUUUAGAGAUUUAUUUUUUAUUUUCCAAGUACACGUGUGUGUCUGCCUCUAUGUAUGUAUAUAAUGUAUGCAUGUAUACUGCAUUUGUGGCUGGUUCCAGCUUGGAUCAGAAGAGGGCAUCGAAUCCCAGAACGGGAUUUACAGAUGGCUGUAAGCCACCAUGCUGGGAAUUGAACCUGGGACCCCUAGAAGAACAGCCAGUGCUCUUAAUUGCUGAGCCAUCUCUCUAGUCCGUGUUCAACUUAUUGAUAACAGCAGCGUGACUCACUUACAAGGUUCAUGCUUGAGAACUACACAGUUGGGUUACCAAAAAAGUUACAAUACAUCCUAGCAUGUUUUAAAUACUAUUCUAAAUGUGUUGAGCCAACAUACCCUGAGACUGUGAUUAGCAAUAGCAUAUUUUCCACCUUUACUCUUCUGUUUCCUUUGUUGUUGUUGUUAGUUUUUAAUUAUACUUAUCUGUUUGUGUGUAUGUGGGGGGGAGUCACGUGCCAAUAGCCUGGUUCUCUCCCCUACGUGAGUCCUGGGGCUAGAACUCGGGUGUUUGACAAGUGUCAGUACUUGCUGAGCCUUGACCCCUGUUUCCUGUUUUGUUUUUGUUUUUGUUUUUCUGUUUCCUGGUUUUAAAAACUCUAUAUUUAAUUUCUGUUUAGGAAGUCACUGUGGGGCUGGGACCAGUCAGGGGAAAGACCACAUGGCAACUAGAACAGGCAAACUUAUUAACUUUAUCAUAUUUAUUCCUUUUGUGUGUUUGGGUGUUUUGUCUGCAUGUAUGUCUGUGCCUGAUGCCUAAAGAGGCCAGAAGAGGGCGUCUCAUCUCCUCGAAUUGGAGUUACAGAUAGUUGUGAGCCUUCAUGUGGGAGUUGGGAAUUGAACCCAGGUCCUCUGAAAGAACAGCCAGUGCUCUUAAACUCUGAGUCACAUCUCCAACCACCAGUGACGUUUAAUAUAAGGAUUAUUAACUGAAGGAGCCUGGGAUACUGUGGGAUUGCUGAGUGAGAAGGAAAUCAAAGACAGGUGGACCAGCGGGCAGCAUCUGGAACCAGCAGCGAGAUGUUAGUUACAGCAGGGAGACAUAGCUCAUACUCACUCGGAGCCUGUGUCGGGGCAGGCGUCGAGAGAUUAGAGCUCUGCAGCCCUGGUACUGGGGUCCUCACUGUGGAAAACCCUGGCAUUUCCUCAGUAAACACAAUGAAUGUCUAGCUCAGACAUACACCAUUCUGAGGCAUAUUUACCCACUGAUGCCCCAAAGUCUAUCUCCACGAGCAGUUAGAAAGCUAUGUCUAUGUGAAAAUUUAUAGUUGAACAUUUGUGGCAACAUUAUUCAAACC
rnacentral:lncRNA from 1 species